GCCAAGAAGAAACUUAUCCCCGAGCUCGAUCACACGACCGUCGCGACGCUCUCAUUAAUACUAACUCCAAGAUUAUUCAUACUCUUCAAGUUACCAACUUCCACGUACCUCGCGUAUGCACUCACGGCCGUGCUGCUGCUGUGCCGUACAACGCCAACCGCAGCAAUAAGGCACGCAGAAAGCCCACCUGUUGGAGACAGAGCAAUGAGCUGUGCUUAACCAACACUGCCUCAGCGCACGCUUACCGUACGGCACGCCUACCUUGCAAUGGCCGCGCAGGAACCUCGGGACACAGUUAUCCGCUGCUCUGCCGAGCCCCACCUGAAUGGCACAGCCACUCACACUCUGCUCCCCGACACUCUGCAACAGAAAAGUCACCACAUGGAAAUGCAAUGAAUCGCAGGUGCCAGCAGACCUCCGUUCUCACGGCAGCCUUCGCAUCAUCCAGCAGACGCGUGCUUACCGAGUGAGCACUGUGCGCUUCCAGUCGAGAGGGGGAACCUACGCCUAACUCAAAAGUACCAACACAACACUAACCUAUGCCUAACACUAAAGUAAGAACAGCAACCUACGCCUAACUCUAAAGUAACAACAACAACAACAACCUACUCCUAACACUAACAUAACAACAAGAACCCCUACCUAACUCUAAAAUACAAACAACAACCUACUCCUACCACUAAAACUAAACUUAACACUAACAUCAACAAGAACGGGGACGGGGACAGAACGGGCUCAGAGGGGACUGGGGCCCGCAGAACUCGGCG
rnacentral:lncRNA from 1 species